AGGGCCUCAGGAGCUAGACUCUAGCCGGUGUAAGUCAUAGAGGAAACUGAACCUGGGCCAGGCAUCGAGGUCCAGAGGAUCCAGAUGGCCCCGAGAGCAGGAACUGGAGGCAGGACUCAGCCACGGGAAUAAAGCCUGUUAGGCCUGAGAUCAGGCCAGAGAAGGACCCUAGGCUGGCUGGCUCAAGAACAAAUCCUAGAGACAUCUGAACUUUAAAUUCUCCCCAACUUAGGAAAGGCCGAACCAGAGACCACAGCAGAGAUGAGCUGAUAUGAAGAUGACCAAGUGGCCCCAGGGAAGGUGUCUGGGGGGCUGCAAAACACAAAGCCAGACAGGCUGCUGCGCUCAGCAGAGAAGGGAUUUCAAGGUGGAAGUCACAAAGCAAAAAUAGACAGUAAUGAAGAGAACACAGGUGGUAUGAAGGAAAAGAGGCCACAGCCAGUGGCCCUGACUGCCUGGAAGAGUGCUUGCACACAUAGGCCUCUGUUUGCCCAGGAAUGAGAGAAGAACAGCACUAAUGAACAUUAGUGAUGCUUACCAUGGCUCUUCAUCAAUACAGGAAGCAACCACCUGCCCAAUUCCUCCCUAGCCUCUGUAAUGCCAUGCCCCAGAGACAAUUGGUUCCAACAUUUUAAGCUGUUGCUUCUCUUGUUUACUUCCAUAUAGCCAAUAAAAUGUCAACACUGGCAGUUCUUUUUUUAUUUCUCCCCACUUCUCCUGUUAUCUAUCAACUUCCAACUAUGAAAAAAUGAGAAUUCUGCUCUUACGGCAUUUCUCCACAUGCCUUCAAUCCUCCAUGGUCCUCACACAGUUAUAUCAUAAUUAUUGGUAAGGUUAAUAUUUAGUAUUUAAGUUACAUAAUGAGGCAGCUAUUCAUAGUGUAGUUGUGCAGCAGCUAUUAGCAUUUCUCUCUUAUACUACUAAGAACUUUCUCUGGAGUUAAUAAUGACCUCAUUUUUCUCUGCUUAUUCUAGAGACCUGCCACUAGUUCAUCCCCAAACUCAGCUGGAAGCGCGGAUCUCUUCCUAGUACAUUCACACACGUGAGA